AACUAACGUCUCGCACUGGGAUCCGGAGGGACUCUUGCCGUUAAACCCCCAAAUUUUUUCAGGUUGACCUCGGAUCAGGUAGGACUACCCGCUGAACUUAAGCAUAUCAAUAAGCGGAGGAAAAGAAACCAACAGGGAUUGCCCCAGUAACGGCGAGUGAAGCGGCAACAGCUCAAAUUUGAAAUCUGGCCCCAGGCCCGAGUUGUAAUUUGCAGAGGAUGCUUUUGGCGCGGUGCCUUCCGAGUUCCCUGGAACGGGACGCCAUAGAGGGUGAGAGCCCCGUACGGUUGGACACCAAGCCUUUGUAAAGCUCCUUCGACGAGUCGAGUAGUUUGGGAAUGCUGCUCUAAAUGGGAGGUACAUUUCUUCUAAAGCUAAAUAUUGGCCAGAGACCGAUAGCGCACAAGUAGAGUGAUCGAAAGAUGAAAAGCACUUUGAAAAGAGGGUUAAACAGCACGUGAAAUUGUUAAAAGGGAAGCGCUUGUGACCAGACUUGCGUCCGGUGAAUCACCCAGCUCUCGCGGCUGGGGCACUUCGCCGGCACAGGCCAGCAUCAGCUUGCCGUCGGGGACAAAAGCUUCAGGAACGUGGCUCCUCUCGGGGAGUGUUAUAGCCUGUUGCACAAUACCCUUCGGCGGGCUGAGGUACGCGCUCCGCAAGGAUGCUGGCGUAAUGGUCAUCAGCGACCCGUCUUGAAACACGGACCAAGGAGUCAACCUUAUGUGCGAGUGUUUGGGUGUUAAACCCCUACGCGUAAUGAAAGUGAACGCAGGUGAGAGCUUCGGCGCAUCAUCGACCGAUCCUGAUGUUCUCGGAUGGAUUUGAGUAAGAGCAUAUAGGGUUGGACCCGAAAGAAGGUGAACUAUGCGUGUGUAGGGUGAAGCCAGAGGAAACUCUGG
rnacentral:rRNA from 1 species